AACGAACGCUGGCGGCAUGCCUAACACAUGCAAGUCGAACGAAGGCUUCGGCCUUAGUGGCGCACGGGUGCGUAACGCGUGGGAAUCUGCCCUUUGGUUCGGAAUAACAGCUGGAAACGGCUGCUAAUACCGGAUGAUGACGAAAGUCCAAAGAUUUAUCGCCAGAGGAUGAGCCCGCGUUGGAUUAGGUAGUUGGUGGGGUAAAGGCCUACCAAGCCGACGAUCCAUAGCUGGUCUGAGAGGAUGAUCAGCCACACUGGGACUGAGACACGGCCCAGACUCCUACGGGAGGCAGCAGUGGGGAAUAUUGGACAAUGGGCGCAAGCCUGAUCCAGCAAUGCCGCGUGAGUGAUGAAGGCCCUAGGGUUGUAAAGCUCUUUUACCCGGGAAGAUAAUGACUGUGCCGGGAGAAUAAGCCCCGGCUAACUCCGUG
rnacentral:rRNA from 1 species